UAGGGAAUCUUCGGCAAUGGACGAAAGUCUGACCGAGCAACGCCGCGUGAGUGAAGAAGGUUUUCGGAUCGUAAAACUCUGUUGUUAGAGAAGAACAAGGACGUCAGUAACUGAACGUCCCCUGACGGUAUCUAACCAGAAAGCCACGGCUAACUACGUGCCAGCAGCCGCGGUAAUACGUAGGUGGCAAGCGUUGUCCGGAUUUAUUGGGCGUAAAGCGAGCGCAGGCGGUUUCUUAAGUCUGAUGUGAAAGCCCCCGGCUCAACCGGGGAGGGUCAUUGGAAACUGGGAGACUUGAGUGCAGAAGAGGAGAGUGGAAUUCCAUGUGUAGCGGUGAAAAGCGUAGAUAUAUGGAGGAAAACCAGUGGCGAAGGCGGCUCUCUGGUCUGUAACUGACGCUGAGGCACGAAAGCGUGGGGAGCAAACAGG
rnacentral:rRNA from 1 species